AUGCAGAACGACGCUGGCGAGCUCGUGGACCUGUACAUACUGCAGAAAUGUUCUGCGAGCAGCCGCAUCAUUGGAGCGAAGGACCACGCAUCCGUCCAGAUGAAUGUGGCCGAGGUUGACAAGGUAACUGGCAGGUUUAAUGGUCAGUUUAAAACCUAUGCUAUCUGUGGAGCCAUUCGCAGGAUGGGUGAAUCAGAUGAUUCUAUUCUUCAAUUGGCAAAGGCGGACAGCAUCAUUUCAAAGAACUUCUGACCAGAGGAAAUUGGGGAAUGUUUGUCAUAAAUAAACAGUGAGAACCAAAAAAAAAAAAAAAA